UAUCGCACUGUACGGAAAGAGAGAGCCCCUCUCCUGACUUUUCUGAUAGCCAAUAGCGUUUAGCUUAGCUUAUGAUGUAAGCGGACGGAAGUGACGUCAUAACACCUAAAGCUAUAUAAUGCUAUGCUACUUAACAAUAAACGCCAUUUGCCAUCCACCACAUUGGUGUCUGUGAGCUGAUGGCCCGAGCGGCCUGGGGUUGGUCGCCGUGCCGUUCCUGAACCAGGUCGCCACGCCUUCGGAAGGCAACAAGUGGUGCCGAAACCGGGGAAUAGUCGCUUGGAUUCGGGUGAACGGCGGCCGGAGCGGCAGGACCAGCCCGGCGGGGAGGACGCUCCCGGACCAGCAAGGAGGAUGGAAGCCCUUGCGAAGAAUAAAACUAAUGAAAACUGUGAGUUUUUAUCCACAGGACUGGAUUGUCGGAUGCCCUCGUAACCCGUAUGCCCCAGUGACAAAUGAAGACGAUAAGCCGACAAGCAUCCUGUCCACACCCGGGAGUUCCGCGCCGGUAAAACCUGAUUCUUAACCCACGAAUAACCACGCCUCUACCAUAUACAACCAUGAAGAGUGCCGAAGCUUCCGCAUCAGUACCGACACGCACCACCAAAAUUUCUGACGGAAACCCUCUCUGAAAAAUGAUGCAAGCUAGCUACCAAUUACUGAACAAAACUCACCCAAAUCUUACGGAGCAUUGUUGGUUGUGCUAUAGCAUUAAACCACCCUUUUAUGAGGCUGUAGGGGUGAGUGACACACCCACGUAUACAAAUGAAACAAAUCCGACCCAAUGUAAGUGGGACACAAAAACAAGGGCUUACAUUAGCACACAUGGUAGUUAGUGGCGUGUGUGUGGGUAAAGUCCCAGAGCACAAAAAACAACUGUGUGUCAAUAAGACACAAGAAACCUCUGCAAGGUGGUUAAUUCCGGCCAACAAUACCAAGUUGGUUUGUUCUAUUAUGGGAAUUACACCUUGUUUGUCGUUGGACAAAUUUAAUAAAGCCUCAGAAUAUUGUGUCCAGGUAACUAUAGUCCCAAAAAUCUUUUACCAUGCCGAAGACUUUGCCUACGCCUAUGACUCACAAAUUACCUUAGAACAUCAUCUGUCAAAACGAGAACCCUUUACAGCAUUAACAAUAGCUACUCUUAUGAUCAUAGGAGGUGCGGGAGUGGGUACAGGAGUAGCAUCCUUGGUGCAACAGAAUAAAGAAUUUAGCACAUUGAGGAUAGCAGUAGAUGAAGACUUAGCUAGUAUUGAACAAUCGAUAAGUGCAUUAGAGAAAUCAAUUAGAUCACUAUCUGAAGUAGUGUUGCAAAAUCAGAGGAUUAGACCUGAUGUUUCUACAGCAAGGGGGAGUGUGCGCUGCACUAGGGGAAGAGUGUUGUGUAUAUGCGGACCACACUGGAAUAGUAAGAGACACUGGCCAAAUUGCGAGAAGGUUUAGAAAAAUGAAAAAGGGAACGAGAGGCACAGCAAAGUUGGUUUACAUCAUGGUUUAACCAUUCACCAUGGCUGACCACUCUGGUAUCCACCUUGAUAGGACCAAUCGCAAUGAUCGUGAUAGCAUUGAUUUUUGGACCCUGUAUAUUGAAUAAGCUCGUAUCAUUUGUUAAGAACUGGCUAGAAAAGGUUAACGUUAUGUUAGUAGAACGCCAAUAAUUGCUUUAGAAAUGUUUUCGUUUAAAAUUCCCUUUAGCUACCCCCAGUUAUACCCCACUACUCCCAGUUAUCCCCCAGUUAUCUUCUGUUUAGCGUGCCUUAAUGUUUUCUAUUCAAGUUUGUGAUACAUAUUUCGAGAUUGUUAUAGAACAUCGAAUAAGAACAGCAUACAGUUAGUACGUUUGUAUCCAAGUUUAUGAUAUAUUUUUUAACAUUGUUAUAUUUUAGCCAAUUUAAUUUUGCAUAGGGAGGGGGGAAAUGUAGGUAGUUAAGGUCUGGCGGCCGGAAGAUAUCGCGCUGUGCGGAAAGAGAGAGCCCCUCUCCUGACUUUUCUGAUAGCCAAUAGCGUUUAGCUUAGCUUAUGAUGUAAGCGGACGGAAGUGACGUCAUAACACCUAAAGCUAUAUAAUGCUAUGCUACUUAACAAUAAACGCCAUUUGCCAUCCACCACAUUGGUGUCUGUGAGCUGAUGGCCCGAGCGGCCUGGGGUUGGUUGCCGUGCCGUUCCUGAACCAGGUCGCCACGCCUUCGGAAGGCAACA